rnacentral:rRNA from 1 species
CUGAUUAGCGGCGGACGGGUGAGUAAUGCCUAGGAAUCUGCCUGGUAGUGGGGGACAACGUUUCGAAAGGAACGCUAAUACCGCAUACGUCCUACGGGAGAAAGCAGGGGACCUUCGGGCCUUGCGCUAUCAGAUGAGCCUAGGUCGGAUUAGCUAGUUGGUGAGGUAAUGGCUCACCAAGGCGACGAUCCGUAACUGGUCUGAGAGGAUGAUCAGUCACACUGGAACUGAGACACGGUCCAGACUCCUACGGGAGGCAGCAGUGGGGAAUAUUGGACAAUGGGCGAAAGCCUGAUCCAGCCAUGCCGCGUGUGUGAAGAAGGUCUUCGGAUUGUAAAGCACUUUAAGUUGGGAGGAAGGGCAGUAAGUUAAUACCUUGCUGUUUUGACGUUACCGACAGAAUAAGCACCGGCUAACUCUGUGCCAGCAGCCGCGGUAAUACAGAGGGUGCAAGCGUUAAUCGGAAUUACUGGGCGUAAAGCGCGCGUAGGUGGUUCGUUAAGUUGGAUGUGAAAUCCCCGGGCUCAACCUGGGAACUGCAUCCAAAACUGGCGAGCUAGAGUAUGGUAGAGGGUGGUGGAAUUUCCUGUGUAGCGGUGAAAUGCGUAGAUAUAGGAAGGAACACCAGUGGCGAAGGCGACCACCUGGACUGAUACUGACACUGAGGUG